rnacentral:lncRNA from 1 species
AAAUAAUUCUGAUUUCCCUGAGCUUAGUGGUACAUGAUUAAUAACUUCAUUUCAAUAUUUUUUCUCCUAUAUCUUCGUCAUGAGAUUUCCUGACUCCUCUUUUUUGGCUCUGGGUCUGUGGUGGGAAAGCUGUCCUCCUCUAUGUACUGAAUUUAUGUGAUUAUUGUCCAGUCUAAUCUGGCAUGCACUUUGCUCAAUUCAUUUCCAAUAAUAGCAGGUUAUUUAGGUUUAAGUGAUGAAUUCUGAACAUGCCUGUGUGUCUUUGCUUCACCAAAACACAGAACCAUACCUACGUGUGCUGGACAGUGUUAAAGGUUCUGAUGUUAAAGGAUUGAUGGCACCAUAGUUGCCUUGGAGGAGUUGUAUGUCUAAUGGAAGAGGCAGAUCCAGGCAUAGUUUUCAGCAGAUUCAAAUCUAUUAAGCUUAAUAUUUACAACUGCUAUAGCAUUUGCAUAAAAUGAGUAUCAUUUUAGCAUCUCUGCAAGCCAGAAAAUGUCUAUUUGAUUUUCUCAUUUUGGACUUUAAAAAUUAUUUUCCAAUUAAAAAUAAUUUGAGGAAAUAGAGAUUUCCAUAACGUUUUUCAAAAAUGUAAUUUUCUUACUCAUCUACUAAUGGCACAGUGUUUUAAAAUGCUUUGCUAAAAAGGCAGCUUUAGGAUUAAAGGAUAAUUUAUGUAAUGUUAGAAACAGCAGCAAUAAUAAUUCAGUAGAGACUUUCAUCAUUCAAUUUAUGAAAAGCAUAUUGCCUUAACAUAAUUUCUUAACUGGAAAUUUAGAUGCAGGAAUCAAAUUAGUCUCUUAAAAUAUAAAGUCACAAAGACAAGUCUGGAGGAGCAUUUGAAGGGAUUAAUGUCUCACAGCUUGAAACAUAUAUGUAAGAAUUCAUGCAAACUAUUUAUCUUACAUCUUUUUAUUUAAAGAAUUUUAGCUCCAUCUACACAUAAGAAAGCCUGGAGUUUGAAAUAAUAGUUGUCCAAAUUCAUGCUUAUCCAGAUUUAUAUCACAUUGCAGCCACAUAUUUUGCUGAUGAUAGUUAAAUAAGAAGUUGCUACUGUAAAAUGUAAAGCUAAGUAUCCUUUUUAGCACCAUGUAUUAUUUCAUAGUAAAAAUUGGAAUGUUACAAUAUUCCUGUGGUGUUAUGUCAAAAAAAUAUUUUCAUCGUCAAUUUGAAAACUUUUAUUAUGCAUUAAGUAGGUAUACUUAAUAUUUGAACAACUAUGGAUGUGUAUCUUUAUGGUACAUAAAUGUUCCCAAAAUAGAUGAAGAUGUGUAUUUAUGAAGCAAACAUAUUCAGCGAUGUGACAAAUGUGAGAGAAGUAUCUCUUGAUAAAGUAAUACUUCUUUAAAAAUUAAUAUGUUUUAUCAUUUCAAAUCUUCUGAUCUUUUUCUUCCAUUCUUCAAAAAUGGAAUGUAUGGUCACUUGUCACUCUUAGUACAGAUUAGCAUUUUUAAACAUAGACGGCUUUCUGAAAUACAUUAAAUGCUUUUUGGAAAAUUGAGUGUAACUCUUUGAAUGAAUGCUAAGAUACUGUUGGCUUCCAAAAGAGAAUACUCCAGACAGGGUACAUUUUUUCUCUUUUUCUACUGGAAGAACCAGACACAAUUUAGAGACAAGUAAGCUGAGGACAGAUUUUCAAGGUCAUCUGGGAACAACUACUCUUUUAGAAACAUUGUAUUGUUUUUUAAUAUAUUUUAUUGAAUUUUGUUACUUCUGUCUUCAGAAAAUGUUAUAUGAAUACAGAAAAUGUAUGUUCCCUGUGGGGACCUGGGAAAUUAAAAACGUGUAUCAUCCUGAUAAAACAUAUCUCAUGGGAAAAAUUGGCCAAAACAGUUAGUUACUCAGUAUAUCUCCAGGUUUGCAUCUUCUACUUCUUAUGUAUUCAUUUAGAGUCCUCUUCCAGUGUGUGGACCUCUGCAGAUUCUAGAUAACUUUUCAAAUAUGCUAGAUUUUGAGCUGUAUAUUUUUUCUCAAGCAGAGACAUCUGCGCAUAGUGAAAAUCAAUUCUCAGAGACCAAAAUUGCCAAGCAUACGUGACGGAACUGUAGGGAAAAAGGGCAUAACUUUAAUCUUCAAAGAAGCUUAAAAAUAGCUCCACAGUUAUUAUGCAUGAGGCCUGACAAUUGACAUUUCUCAUUUUGGCAGCAUUCACCUACAGCACCCUAUCAGCAACUGAACACAUUCAUCUCUGGAAUAAAUGAUUAAUGAGCUGCCUAUCAUUUCCACUCCUUUUGUACCAAGUGGUGGAGGCUUCAGUUGAUCAUAUUGCAGCCAUCAACAUCAUUACUGAAAUUGAUUCUGCCACUAGAGGGUUGUGCUAGGAUCAUCAAUUAGCAUUUAAAUUAAAAAGUUAUGGCAUUAAAAAUAACAAAAAAAUAAUCCCUUCUGAGUCACUCUGUCAGACCUGGUAAGGUGAUUUUGUUUUUUUGCUCAUCAGACAGCAUCACAAAACCUUAGAUUGAGGAAGGAAGCAUGGAAGGAUUGUUUUUGUUUCAAGAACAACCCUCUAAGAUUUCCAAACUUUUUAUUAAUCACUGUCAUGUUCCUUGAAAUGCAGAUUUAUGAAAUGCUACAAUUUGCAUUCAAUAGUGACCAAUGAAGUUGCCAAAUUAUUUCCUUCAGACAAAAAGUCAAAGGAUAGAGUUAGGCAUUUUUGAAAGGUCAGAAUUUAUCCAGAAAGGGGGAAGUUAGAGGAAGGAGAUUUACAAAUGAUACUGAGAUACAGCAAAAUAAAGUUUUUCUUAUAUUUCAGCAGGCAGAUGUGAGAAUGAAGUGAAAAGAACAUCAUCAUUUAGAUGUCGGGAUGAUGUGGGCUGCAUUUCUAAAACAGAUGGCAGAUAAUGUGGGUCUCCAUAGUCCUACAAAAAAGUGACAGAUUGUAGUUUUGGUAAAAUGAUACAUCAAGGAAAAUGAAUGGUACUUGGAAUAGGUAUUUUAGCAUCUCUUUCUGCUCCUGGGACCAAGUUCCUCAAGUUCUCAAUAUUACUGAGCUUAAACUCCUUCCUCAUCUAUGUUCAUCUUCCAGCAUGGCUUUCUCCUAUUUCCUCAUUGUUUCCUCUCUCUUCCCCUGUUGAAUUUCAAAUUCAAAUAUAAACAGUUGGUUUUGGUUUUAUCUGCCUCUGAAUUAAGACACUACCUUUACUACAUUGUAUUGGUCACCCAAUUGAAGUGCAUGUGCAUUUUCUUCAGAGCUGAGACGCAUUGAUUAUACAACAAAAUGGAGCUAUCAUAGGUCCUCAAUCCAGCUGCUCUGUCCUAUACUUGAUUAAUAUUCUUUCCACAAUCUGUUGGUAGUGGUAUUGUGACUUUUCAUUUCUGUCUUUGUGAAAUUUUAAGAAGAAGCUAACAAAGGCUGCUUUGAGGACUGCUAAGUAGAGGACAUUUUUACCUAACAUUGAUUAAUGUAGAUAGCUGAGACUUACUUGUAUUUUGAAAAAUGGGAAGAAAAUGGUCAUGGUAAGAAGCACUGGGUGAUAAGAAAAACACAUAGUAACAAGAUUUCUACAUGUGAGCCAAUAGCAAACUUCCUCUAUGUGUUAAAAUUCUCCAAUGAGAAAUACAGCAACUCGUUUCAGACACCAUGAGAUGGACAGGUUAGGCCAAGUUGUGCUUGACCUAGUGGUGAAUGACCACACACUUCUUUACCUUUGGCACAAGUGGUUCAUCAAUCUCCCACUUUCCCUCAGAUCCUUUUUCAGCGUAGUAUUCUAGGCACCAACUGCCAACUGGCCAGUGUUCACCUGUUUGUCAUUUUCAGCUUAACUACCAAUUUGGACAAUUGGAGAGGUAUUCGAACCGGAUGGUAAAGCUGAAAUUAGAUCUCAAGUCUCUUCACUGAAGUCUAGUACUCUUAUAUUUCAUAGACAAUGAACUGGACCAGAUGAAUUCUUCUGUUAGUAUGAUGUAUAUCAUAUGAACUUCCAAUAAUUUUAAAGCUAACUUUUUAUUAUAAAAAUGAUACAGGCUCAUGGUAAAGUCACUGUGGGAAACAGUAUGGUGUUUCUUCAAAAAAUUAAAAAUAAAAUUACCAGGCAGAUGUGGUGGCUCACACCUGUAAUCCCAGCACUUGGAGAGGCCAUGGUGGGAGGAUUGCUUGAGCCUAGGAGUUCAAGACCAGCCUGGGCAACACAGCGAGGUCCCAACUCUACAAAAACAAAUUCCAAAAAUUAGUUGGGCAUGGUGGAGCAUACCUGUAGUCUCGGCUGAAGCAGAAGGAUCACUUGAGCCCAGGAGUUCAAGGCUUCAACAAGCCAUGCUUGUGCCAAUGCACUCCAGCCUGCGUGAUAGAGUGAGACCCUGUCUCAAAAAAAAAGAAAAAAAAAGAAAGAAAAAGGAAUUACCAUAUGAUCCAGCAAUUGCACUUCUGGGUAUAUACUUAAAAUAAUUGAAAGCAAUCUUUUGAAAUGGUCUCAAAGAGUUAUUUGUGUACCAAUAUUUAUAGCAGCAUUAUUCACGAUAGUUAAAAUGUGAAAGCAACUCAAGUGUCCUGGACAGAUGAAUAAGGAAAAUGUGGUAUACAUAUUCAAAGCAAUAUUAUUCAGCCUUAUAAAGAAAGGAGCUGGAUAUGGUGGCUCACGCCUGAAAUCCCGACACUUUGGGUGGCUGAGGUAGGAGGAUUGCUUGAGGCUGGGAGUUCAAGAAGAGCCUGGGCAACAUGGUGAGAUCCCAUGUCUACACAAAAUACAAAACUGGGCCAGACAUGGUGGCACAUGCCUGUAGUCUUAGCUACUCGGGAGGCUGAGGUGGAAGGAUUGCUUGAACCUGAGAGGUGAAAGCUGCAGUGAGCUAUGAUCACACCACUGCAAUACAGCCUGAGUGACAGAUUAAGACCCUGACAAAAAAAAAAAAGGAAAUUCUGAUAUGCUGAAACAUGAAUAAAUUUUGAGGAUAUUAUGCUAAGCAAAAUAAUCUAACCAAAAAGACAAAUACUUUAUGAUUCCACCUGUAUAAGGUACUUAGAUUGGUCAAAAUCAUAGAAAGAGAAAAUAGAAAGGUGGUAGCCAGAGACUAGAGGGGAGGGAAUGGGGAGUUACUGUUUAAUGGAUACUGAGUUUCAGUUUUACACAAUGAAAUGAGUUUUGGAGAUGGAUGGUGGUGAUAGUUGCACAUAAUUAUGAAUGUAUUUAAUAUCAUUGAAUUGUAUGCUUAAAAAAGGUUAAGUUGGUAAAUUUUAUAUUAUACGUAUUUUGCCACAAUAAAAAAUUGGGAAAAAAUGCAGGCUUAUCACAAGAAAAAAAAAUUACAUAAAGUAUAAAGUGGAAGUAAAUAUCUUCUUAGCAGUUUGCCCCAUUAUCUUCCUGCUCUAUGUGUCACCUCCCUAAACGCCAACUCUCACUUUCUAGGAAAAGCUGCUUUAAAGUCUGUACACAUGUAAGGAAAUGUUCUUUACAUAAACCACAUCUGGCUGUGUUUGUCUGCGUUCAUCUUUGCCUCUCUCUCUUUGCCUGGAUAAGAUCAUACUGCAUAAACUCUCCUCUAAUGGUUUUUUCCUAUCUAAAAUAUGUAUUUUGAAGAGUUUCCCUUAUUAGCCUAUAUAUAUCUAAUUUUUAAAAACUGACUGAAUGGUGUGUGAUUAGAUGUCUAUAUCUCCCAUUGAUAGAAAUGUAGGGUAUUUCCAUUCGUUUUUACAAAUGAUACUGCAGUGAGCAUCUUUGAGUAUAAAUCUUUGGGUACUUGUGAGUGAGUUAAUUUCUCAGAUAAAUUAGGUGGAAUUAUGAGCCAAAAGUUAUGUGUAUUUUACAUUUUGAUAGAUAUUGACAAAUAGCCCUCCAAAAGUUGAACUAAUUAUCUCCCUAUAAACUAAACAGCAUAGGAAAGUGCCUGUUUUCCCAACACCUUCAACGCUAAGCAUUAUAAAAUUUCUACUUAUAGCCAUGUAGUAGAUGAAAAUAUUGAAAAUAUUUUAAUUUACAUAUAUUCAAUUCUGAAUGAGGUUAAACAUAGAUUUUAUAUGACUAUUCACUGUUUGUAUUUAUUUACAAUGCACUGCUUGUUCAUUUCCAUGCUCAAUUUUAAUGGUGUUUACUUUGAGGAAAAAAAAACACCUAUAUGGAAAAGCCCUGAAUUAUAUGUAAUUCCCUCUUUCUACACCUUUUCUGCUAUAAUUUGAAAGUUAGCUUUGGUCAGUUUUUUCACUGUCACUGUUUCUUUCCUCCCUCUCCUCCCUCUCCUCCCUUCCUCCCUUCCUCCUUUCCUUUCUUCCUUCCUUCCUUGACAGGGUCUUGCUAUAUUGCCCAGGCUGGAGUGCAGUGGCUAUUCACAGGUGUGAUCCUAGUGCACUACAGCUUUGAACUCCUGUCUCAGCCUCCUUAGCCGCUGGGAGUACAGGUGCAUGCCACUGCACCCAGUGCCUUGUUUCUUUUAUGAUAAUCAUUUCUCUUUCAAUGUUUAACCAGAUUCUCCACACCUUGACAGCAAUUAGGGUGAGGAGGACUAAUAGUACUGCCAAAGGCCCCUGAUGGUCUUGUUUCAGAGAUAAUUUUUGUUACAACAUUGCUUAGCCCAUUAUGCUUUAUAAUCUUCUUGUCAGUAACUGUGUGUCCUUGGUAUUCAUCUUGUUUCUCAGUCAUUUCUACUAUAGAAAGAAUCAUAUUUUCGAGAAUAACAAAAUGUCUGAUACCCUGUUUUCAGGAUACCUUCAUAUACUAACAGACCAAAGUGACUGGACUUGGCCAAUUCAGUUACAAUGAAUCCUAUUGAAAAAUGAACCUGGUUUACCUGAGGGCUAACCAUUCAGGAACAACUGUUUAUCAUGAAGACUUUUUAGUUUAAUUUUCAAAUAGGAAAUGUAUUCACGUGUGUAUUAGGUUCUCCAGAGAAGCAGAACCAGUAGGAUACACACACACACACACACACACACACACACACGGGGAUUAUGGGAACUGACUUCAUGACUAUAGAGGCUGAGAAGUCCCAGGAUGCGCCAUCUGCAAGCUGAAGAAUGAGGACAGCCAGUGGUGCAAUUCAGUCCAAUUCCGAGGUCCUGAGAACCAGGGUAGCCAAUGAUAUAUCUCUCAGCUGAAGGCAUGAGAACAUGUGUGUGUGCGUGUGUCUGUGUCUGUGUGUGCGUUGGGGGGUGCAAGUCCUGGAGUCCAAAGGUCCAAGAACCAAGAGCUUUGAUGUCCAAAAACAGGAGAAGAUGGAUGUUCAGGCUCAAGAAUAGAAAAAUUCAUUCUUCAUCCACCUUUCUGUUUUAUCCUGGCACUCAAUAGACUGGAUGAUGUCCACUCACAUAGGUGAGGCUGGAUUAUCUUUACUCAGUCUACUGAUUCAAAUGUGAAUCUCUUCUGGAAACAUCCUCACAGACACACCCAGAAAUAAUGUCUUACCAACUAUCUGGGCAUCCGUUAGCCCAGCCAGGUUGACACAUACAAUUAACCACCACAACGUGGCUCAAAAGUCAAGAAGUAUAAAGAAAACAAAGUGAAAAGGUUUUUUUUUCAUCCCCAUCCAUUAUCUUCCAGUUUCCCCACCCUAUCCUCAUGGAGUUUGUAGUAUAUUGAACAGGUAGACCACCAAGAAAUUAUAAUAAGGUACAUUCAGUCUUCUCAUUAUCAGUAAUUUUUUACUACGUUUCUGGGUUCUGGGAGGAGGGUGUUACAGAAUGCUGAGCUGGGAAGCUUCAAUCAUGAGAUUUUAAUAUUUAUCAAUGAAGGGUUUAAAAAGAUGGAGAAUGAGUUAAAGGAAUUAACUGCCACAGAGAAAAAUAAAGUGGUCCCUUGUCCUACAUCUUGGAAUCUCUAUUGCGAUAAUUGCUAUGUGUGUGGCAACUUCCUGGAGGUUACUUAUUAAAAAUGUACCCUGAAGUAAUUCAUAUGUGUCAUGCUAAUGCCCUGUCCACUUCUUACUAAAAUGUAUGGGUUAAAAUUAACAGUAAUACUUUUGUCUGGAUACUGAAUCCAACUAAGUAGAAAUUACUCAUUUCUAAGUUGUAAUGUAUUGUAUAUAAAUGUAACAUUGUUAUAAUACAAUUAUAUGUAUACAAUGUAAAAAUGUAAUAUAUUGUGUAUAUGUACAAAUGUACAUUUGUUGUGAAAUAUUGUGCAAUAUAAUUGUAAUAUUUUCAAGCCCUAUAUGAAAAAGCUGUUAUUUGCAUGACUGUAUCCUAUGAAUAGUUAUGGAAAUGAAUAAAUAAGCUUUUUAGAAACAGUUUACAGAGUCAUAAACACUUAAAUAUUUGCGCCUGAAUUUUCUCAUCAAUUCUUUAGGUGUUUUCCCCUAAACAAAAGAAUCUGUCUUUAUUUUUCAUGAAAUCACUUUUCUAUUUUGGCAUACAUUUCUUUUUCAUUUUAAAGUCUGCAAUCUUCAUUAUAUAACCUGCAGGCUAUAUGAGUGAGG